CAACAACAAAGAACAGAGCAUCACGUGGCAUUAGGUUCCACAGACAGCAGCUGGCCUCAUCAGCACGGGCUCUCAUCACGCAGGCACCAGUGGGGCCCAGUGGGGACGGCACAGGCAUGCAUGGGCGUGCAUGUCAGCCAUAGCAGGUGCAGAGAAUGUGGCAUGUCUUGGUCUGGUUUUCAAGAGCAAUCUCACUGCUCCUUGCUGCACCUGCUGAAGCUCUGUCACUCCCAGCCCUGACUCUGGGAGCAGAGGGGUGUCUCCUGACAGGGGUACCUCCUGCCUUGACACAGAACUACCAUCACAGAUGCACGCCAGCCCAGCUUUGCUUGGUGGAGAGCUCCCAGCUGGUGCAUUCUCAUCGGGUCGCACCCCAGGGUUUUAGAUUGGUACCAUCAAGAUGAAGCCAAAUGACAUGCGGAUAUAACAAGGAAGGAGCAGCUGGUGGGACAGUCUUUGCAUAUCAUGGACAGCGCCCACUGACCGCCCCCCAUCCCCCAACACAACCACAUUUCCUAACGUCCUGACUUUUACUAUUGAUAUUUUUAUUCACAGGUGACUUUUGUCGAUAUUUUUGGCACAUAUUAGCUAUCCUUUCUUUGUUCCUUG
ensembl:lncRNA